CAGGUAUGGACAACAAUUUGAUGUGAUAGUUACGCAGUGGUAAAGGCAUAAGAAAGAUUUCCUGCAAUAAAAAGCAUUUCAUUCAAAGCACGGAGCGCCGUCCUGGAUGUCAUAAAGAAAUAAGAUCCCUGGGGACGAGAGUUACUGAAGGUUUGACUAAUCUGGAAUGCUUUAUACUCAGAAAUUAGUGACUUUAAGAUGAACGUGUGAGUUAUCUAGCGUCGUUUAUAAAUAAGUGUUGAGCAAAAUCCAUGGUUAAGAAAAAGAUUCUUCAAAUUAUUCAAUAUUUAUAUUAAGCGGCAGGUAUAUUGAAAAGGGAUGUGUUUUUUUUAUUUUCGGAUGUGGGUUUCGCAAACAAGUUACUACUUAAGCUCCGGUUAGCUGACUAAAAUCUGGAAAGGUCAUAGAGAAAACAUGUCCCUUGCCUACCUGAACCGUUCUGAACAGUCAGAUUCGACGCCUGGAUAACGAAAUAAUAAUCGCCUCCAUGUUCAGCUAAGCGAUAUUGUAUAUUUUGUAAAUGACAUCUAUCGUUUAGAGAACACUUUUUCAUGCCACUGAUCUCAAAAUUUUUGUCUAAAGAUGAAAUAAAUCUUA